AGCCUUUAAAGCUAAACCAUGGAACAUUUGUUUACGGUUCCCCCAUGUGGUUGAUAAGCGCAAUUGUCUGUUACAGUGUCGUAAAUACUGUCGCUGUAUAAGCUUCCCAGUGGGCAGCGCAAUACACAUGAAUUCGUUGACUAAGCUGACGGAACCGGCGAAUGCAGAAACCUCGUUUGGAAACCAUGCCCACGACCAGGAAAUGGUUCUGUGGUUGCACAACCCUCACUGAUGCCCUGGGAUUUGACUGGCAUUAUUACAAGCGCACUGGGCAGCUUCAUCUCCAUGGGCUUUUUCUUUGACAAGAAGAUCUCUGUUGGAAAGCAGAUGAGCAAAAAUAGUCUGCUAAUGAAGUUUUUGUGCGCCCUUGUCAAACAGUGAAUGAGAGAAGUCGUCGAAGACUGAUUUAUGCAGACUUGUACCCGUUGACCUCCACUUACAAACAGACUGAGAAGACGACGUAUAGGAAUCCCUAAAAUGCUGCAGUCUUUGUGUAUCUAUACUGGCUGGAACUGCUUUACAGUCACUGCACAUUAAAUGAUGUUGCACAGUCCUAUGCUUAUGCAAAGCUUCUGCGAAAGCUUGCAUCAGAUGCAGGGUGGCAUUCUGCGAAAGUGAACAUGAAGAAUAGCAUAAUUUGUAUCUGUGUUAAUUACUUGAACAAUGGUAAUUCAAGGCUAUGACCUCACUUCCAAUAAGCCAGUGGGAGAAUCUAUAGUGAGACACCAUUAUAAUUGUGCUGCAGUUGCCAAACUAUUAAUUAUUUGCGUGGGUGAAAUUAAUGAUAUAUAGCCACAGUUGCCCAAGAUCAUUCUCUACUCAUUAACACAGCCUAAACAUUAAGCCCCCAUCAAUGUAGUUCUAACAAAGGCUGCUGUACUGGAUGGGCAUGUGUAUCCUGCGGUGUCCUAAGCCCCUCUGUGUCCCUCAUCUUGCUUGGCCACCUGACAAAUGCCCUGGUGGCUCUGGCCCAUGACCUAGUGGCAAGUGCUGGGAAGAAAUACGCUUUACAUUGUUUACAAUGUAAUUGUGUCCCACAGUCCAGGAAGAAAACAAACAAACAGAGGGAACACAAUGGCCUUUGAAGCACAUGGGGUGAACUGGAAAAUGGUGACGUUCAUUGAGAGUUUAACUCGUGUCUUGUGAAUAAAAUAUAUGAUGCUUCAUUCUUGAUGAAAGAAACUGCAGUUUGUGUAUGAACAUUUCGCUGUUUUUUUUUUUAUUUCUUUUUAAUCAUUUUAUUAGAAAAGGUUUACAACUGAACUUUCAAGAACUCAUAUUUUCAAAUUUAAUGAUAUUAAUUAUAUAAUUAUAUUUUGAAUAGAUAAUGUUAAAAUUAUUUACUAAAUUUUGGUUCACAAUCACAUACUAUCAGGGCUGGAAAUGGGGGGUAACGCGGGGGGACGGCGUUCCAGUUCAAAUUGGUUCGAUUUUUUUUUUUUUUUUUUUUUUUAGCGAAAUGAAUGGAUUUCUGUAUUUAUUCACUCAAUAGCCUAAGAAAACUAAACGAAUUCAGCACAAAAACAUAGCGCAAUAAAAUUGCAUGAUUAAUCACAAAAAGAUCACGAUCUGGAUUUAAACACCCACGCGAUCAUACUGCUCGAAGUGGGCCGGUACGCACCGGCACUUCUCUAUUUUAAUUCUGUACCGUAGCCUCGCUUUGUCUUGCGUACCGGCACUUCUCACAUGUUGCCGGUACUCUAACCCCCACACCGAAACAUAGAAUCAGGCAAUUAAUUAAUUGUAUACAUCGCACGUUCGGAGCUUUAAUAAGCAGGAGUGACGCGCCGCGCGCUCCAAAAGUAUAAGAAUUGCGCGAGCCUUUCUUAUGAUAAAAUGUGAAACCCAUUUGAAUUCUAUUGAGAAUGUAGUAAAACGCUAUGGAGAAAGUCAAACAUGAUCUAAAAACAGCCACUAAAAAGACUGAUGAAAAGAGGGGAAAACAUGAUGAUGAUCCUGCAAGCUUUUUAAAUAUAUAAUCUAUUAAAGGAAUAGAUUUAAAAAAAAAAAAAAAAAGAGAGAGA